UCUUUCUCAACGGGGUGCCUCCAACAGGCUGAGACCAUACCCGCGGAACCUGCCCCAGAUAAUGCUGGCGAAGGAAUUGAGCUUUAAUCGGCC
rnacentral:ncRNA from 2 species